AUUGAACGCUGGCGGCACGCCUAACACAUGCAAGUCGAGCGGUAGCAUGGUUAGUAGCAAUACUAACUGAUGACGAGCGGCGGACGGGUGAGGAACACGUAGGAACCUGCCCAAGAGAGGGGGAUAACUAAGGGAAACUUUAGCUAAUACCGCAUAAUUCUCUGAGGAGAAAAGUUGCCCGUAAGGGUAGCGCUUUUGGAGGGGCCUGCGUCCGAUUAGUUAGUUGGUGAGGUAAUGGCUCACCAAGACUGUGAUCGGUAACUGGUCUGAGAGGACGACCAGUCACACUGGGACUGAGACACGGCCCAGACUCCUACGGGAGGCAGCAGUGGGGAAUCUUGGACAAUGGGGGCAACCCUGAUCCAGCGAUGCCGCGUGGGUGAAGAAGGCCUUCGGGUUGUAAAGCCCUUUAGGCUGGGAAGAAGUUUAUGGGAUGAAUAAUCCUGUAAAUUGACGGUACCAGCAGAAUAAGCACCGGCAAACUCUGUGCCAGCCGCCGCCGUAAGAC
rnacentral:rRNA from 1 species